UGGGGAAUUUUGGACAAUGGGGGAAACCCUGAUCCAGCCAUCCCGCGUGUGCGAUGAAGGCCUUCGGGUUGUAAAGCACUUUUGGCAGGAAAGAAACGUCAUGGGUUAAUACCCCGUGAAACUGACGGUACCUGCAGAAUAAGCACCGGCUAACUACGUGCCCAGCCGCGGUAAUACGUAGGGUGCAAGCGUUAAUCGGAAUUACUGGGCGUAAAGCGUGCGCAGGCGGUUCGGAAAGAAAGAUGUGAAAUCCCAGAGCUCAACUUUGGAACUGCAUUUUUAACUACCGGGCUAGAGUGUGUCAGAGGGAGGUGGAAUUCCGCGUGUAGCAGUGAAAUGCGUAGAUAUGCGGAGGAACACCGAUGGCGAAGGCAGCCUCCUGGGAUAACACUGACGCUCAUGCACGAAAGCGUGGGGAGCAAACAGG
rnacentral:rRNA from 1 species